UCAGGUUUCUCUUUCAAUCAGGAAUUCAUUCCCCAAAUGUUCAAGACGAAAUCGAACAUCUGGCAACCAUGUUACUGGGCGAAUUGGAAAAUGGUGUGAUGAAUGGCCUUGAUAUACACACGCGGCCGUCGAUAGAAACAACGUUGCCACAUCUACAUGACUCGUCAUGGUCGAACGUCAAGGUAAUGAAAUGACCGCCUAGAACGACAUAAAUCAUCCAUGUAUCGUGAAAUUUUAACAACUAUCCAGUUAACAGCCUUAAACGCCACUUAAAUGGUUUAUUGCGGAGUGUUAUGCGUUUAAAAAGAGGAAAGUGAAAAAGUAUUUUGUAACUAUGGUCAGACGCUAAGCUGAAGUUUACUUCAAAAUUUGUAUGUACCGGUUGUCCCACUCGAAUGUGCAUAUGGAAUAUUAAUUAUGCUUUAUUAUUAUUGAAUCAGCACCUGAAGACAGUGAAUAUAUUGAGACCAGUCCGACAACAAAAAUGUUGAAGGAAGGAAGUAUAAUAUACAACAACCCACACGUCGAAAACCACUAUUAUAUCGUAUGCCUCCCGAUUGUCUAAAAUGAUUAGACCGAUAGAUCAUAUAUAACAUGUUUCUAAUAGUUAAAAAAAUACGAGGAGUAUAUCAAAGCUAACGUUCCCUAUACUAGGUCCACGAAUCUUUCCUUGAUACGCCAUUUUUUUUUCAAGUCGCACCCUAGUUCCAUAACUACAUGAAUACCGAUAUAGUAAAGAUUUGAUUUACUGAAAUCAAGAUAUGCCAAAGAAUUGACAAUAAAAUUAUACUACUUA